GCCCUGCUGGGCCAUUAACAAAGAGACACUCGUCCUAUUCUUACAAUGGUUUAUUAUACUUAUUACAUACGGUGGUGAUUGAUGUUAAGAAAAUGUGAAUAUUUUCAAAAACAUUGAUUUUUUGAGAAUAUUAGUAAUAAAAGUCUUUCUGGAGGUUAAUCGAGUUUUUUGAGGUUAACUGUUGGAAAAAUAAAGCGAGUUGCCUAUCUUGGUAUCUCAGGCGUCUCCGAUACAGUGGUACCAAACCACUUAGUUUUUAGUAAGUUGGCAGAUGGUGUAAUAAAGCAGUUAGCGCGGCGCGGUACAGGAGGUAGCCACGUGUUGAGUUGCAAUAUUAUGUAAUUUCUCAGUUAUGUUAAAUAAAUACCUUUUUCAACGAUACUGCGUAUUUCAGUUUAAUUGGAUAACCCGACAUUAACUAAGUUUUUUGGAGGUUAAUCGAGUGAUCAUCAAUUUAGGUUGAAAAUGAAUAAACUGGAUAACAUGCUGUGCGAUUUCUUUUAUGCCUUAACCAUACGAUGACAAUUUUCUGAUUUUAAUCUAAGUAUACCGAUGAAUUACACAUCAUUCUUUUUAUCCUGAUAUUAUAACAGACAAUAGUUUAGCUAAGUAUGCGGCUCUUACAUUUUGUAUUCAAAUCAAAGACUGUAACACAUCCAAGGAAAAGACUCCAUUCCAGCAUCGGAUCUAUGCAUAUAAAUUUUAUUUUCCAUUAGUUAAUGAUAUAAAAAUUUCUUUUAACUAAUGUCUCCUUCGUAGAGAUUUCAUGUGAAUUAUUAUGCCAAUAGAAUUCAACCACAGUUACAAGGAAUAUGCAAGACAUGAAUCUGUUAAAAGAUGAUCAAUCAUUUUGCUGGAAGAGAGAGCGCAUUAUUUUCAACA
rnacentral:lncRNA from 1 species